UGCCUGUAAGACUGGGAUAACUCCGGGAAACCGGGGCUAAUACCGGAUAAUAUCCCUUUAUACAUAUAAUUAGAUUGAAAUGAUGGUUCUGCUAUCACUUACAGAUGGGCCCGCGGCGCAUUAUGCUAGUUGGUGAGGUAACGGCUCACCAAGGCGACGAUGCGUAGUCCGACCUGAGAGGGUGAUCGGCCACACUGGGACUGAGUACACGGCCCAGUACUCCUACGGGGAGGCAGCAGUAGAGGAAUCUUCCGCAAUGGUACAGUAAAGUCUGACGGAGCAACUCCGCGUGAGUGAUGAAGGUUUUUCGGAUCGUAAAACUCUGUUGUUAGGGAAGAACAAGUAUCGGAGUAACUGCCGGUACCUUGACGGUACCUAACCAGAAAGCCACGGCUAACUACGUCCCAGCAGCCGCGGUAAUACGUAGGUGGCAAGCGUUGUCCGGAAUUAUUGGGCGUAAAGCGCGCCGCAGGCGGUUCCUUAAGUUUGAUGUGAAAGCCCCCCGGGUUCAACCCGUGGAGGGUCAUUGGAAACUGGGGGAACUUGAGUGCAGAAGAGGAAAGUGGAAUUCCAAGUGUAGCGGUGAAAUGCGUAGAGAUUUGGAGGAACACCAGUGGCGAAGGCGACUUUCUGGUCUGUAACUGACGCUGAGGCGCGAAAGCGUGGGGAGCAAACAGGAUUAGAUACCCUGGUAGUCCACGCCGUAAACGAUGAGUGCUAAGUGUUAGAGGGUUUCCGCCCUUUAGUGCUGCAGCAAACGCAUUAAGCACUCCGCCUGGGGAGUACGACCGCAAGGUUGAAACUCAAAGGAAUUGACGGGGGCCCGCACAAGCGGUGGAGCAUGUGGUUUAAUUCGAAGCAACGCGAAGAACCUUACCAGGUCUUGACAUCCUCUGACAAUCCUAGAGAUAGGACUUUCCCCUUCGGGGACAGAGUGACAGGUGGUGCAUGGUGUCGUCAGCUCGUGUCGUGAGAUGUUGGGUUAAGUCCCGCAACGAGCGCAACCCUUGAUCUUAGUUGCCAGCAUUUAGUUGGGCACUCUAAGGUGACUGCCGGUGACAAACCGGAGGAAGGUGGGGAUGACGUCAAAUCAUCAUGCCCUCUUAUGACUCUGGGCUACACACGUGCUACAAUGGAUGGUACAAAGGGCUGCAAGACCGCGAGGUUUAGCCAAUCCCAUAAAACCAUUCUCAGUUCGGAUUGUAGGCUGCAACUCGCCUACAUGAAGCCGGAAUCGCUAGUAAUGCGGAUCAAGCAUGCCGCG
rnacentral:rRNA from 2 species